CCGACGUGGACAUCCAGCGAGUUGCUCUCCUGGCUCUGUCCUGGUGGCGUAUGGGAGCGUAGCUCUGAGCUGAGACGUACAGUCCCGUUCCACAUCGUCGGAGACUAAGCUCCGUCCCCGGCCUCUGGCUGGUGCGGACGGGCGUGCUGCAUAUUCCUACAUCUUCCCAGAGUCCUUUGGGGCCGUUACUGGGGAGCUAAACCAUGCAGUGCACAUUU
ensembl:snoRNA SNORA73 Small nucleolar RNA SNORA73 family